ACAGACGGUCUUUACAAGCGACUCGUGGGCGUCAAUACUGGGCUGAGUUUGUGGCGCGCUUAGUGAUGGGAUGGCCCUGUGCAGGACGCCGACACGAAAAGAUGAAGAGUUCAAUCCGUGCUGUCUGAACUCACAGUGUAGCAGGCGAGAUAGACGGGAAGAUCGGUAGGGUGGGAGAUGCCGGAAAGGCUUCCCGUGAGACUGGAUAAGAAAUCAAAAAUCUGGUGAAAUUGCCGGCAAGAGGGAGUUAAGGACAUUCCAGGCAGAGGCAAGUCCAGAUUCCUAAGAUGAGGACACAGCAUCCUGGGCCACUGUCACUAAUACAAAUUUGCCUCUGGAGGGACUCUACGGAAGAUAAUUCCCCUGAAAUUUGGAGAGUUGAAUUAAGCUAGGACUGAUUCUGGCUGGAAUUUGUGGUGGCUACGUACCCUAGAGGGCCUCAAGGAAACCCACGGUUCAAGACAGCCCUGACAGAUUCUGGAGUCUAGAACAGAAAUGGAUUUGAACAUGGGCAAGGCCAACCACCCAGUUCACGGCCUGUGUACAGCAAAGAUUACGUUACAGCCUGAGAGCUAAGCCUGGAAGCUCUUUCAUCCAUCCGUUUGUCCAUCUAUCCAUCCAUCUGCUCAUCCAUCCCUCCAUCUGCUCAACAAACGUUAGAGAAUCAAUCCUUGUGUCAGAUACUGGGGCUGCCCUCAAGGAGCUUUUAUAGAGUUCAGGGUACAGCCAGGUGGGGGAGACAGAUCACUAUAAAAACCUACCACUAUAAUCCAAAGGACAAGAGCAAAAAUAGUAAAGAGGAGAGAAGACCCAAAUUUGCCUGGUGGGUCAGAGAGGGCUUUCUAGAAGAGGUAAAAAAUCUUCGGGGCUAUCACUUCACCUUGCCUGGUGGAUAAAGGGAGGACUUUCCAGAUACAGUGGACAGAAUGUGCAGAGGCAGGAGCCAUGAGUGGCAGAGGCAGGGGAGGGACUGCAGAGACAGGUUGGAGCCAAAGCACGUGGCACUGGAGCCAUAGCCAAAGGAACAAACUGUGAGACCUGGGACUUGAAUUUGGAGGUGGUGAAAAGUGACAAGGUCUUCACAGAAGAGUGAUUUUUUCAACUUAGGGAAGGCUGACCCCAGACCAAUGCUGCCAAAGUGUGGUCUGUGGGCUGUUAGCAGUUCGUGACGAUGUAAGUACAGGAAUUGAGAUUAAGCAUUUAGAACACCUACAGCACUUUGAUAGUCAUUUUACUUUUUAAAUUUUGAGCUGGCAUUUUAUAUGCCUGGUUUUUUUUUGUUUUUGUUUUUUUAUUUUUUUUGAGACAGUCUCGCUCUGUCGCCCAGGCUGGAGUGCAGUGGCGCGAUCUCUGCUCACUGCAAGCUCCGCCUCCCGGGUUCACGCCAUUCUCCUGCCUCAUCCUCCCAAGUAGCUGGGACUGCAGGCGCCUGCCGCCUCGCCCAGCUAAUUUUUUGUAUUUUUAAUAGAGACGGGGUUUCACCAUGUUAGCCAGGAUGGUCUCAAUCUCCUGAUCUCGUGAUCUGCCCGCCUUGGCCUCCCAAAAUGCUGGGAUUACAGGUGUGAGCCACCACGCCCAGCCUUAUUCUCUUUUUCUAAUAGUUGCACUUUAUCAUAUUUUACAAAUGUGUGAGUCUGCUAUGGAUUAGAAAUUAAUAAGAGAUUUUGCCACAGAUAGUUUGAGAAGCCCAGCACUGCCACUCAACAAAUGCUGGUGCAUUCAGAUGGUGAAAUAUUCUGCAGCUAUUAAAGGAGUUAAAACUGCCUCCACUUACCUGGAGGCCCAUCUGUGACACCUUUUUAGGUUAAAAGGAAAAGAAAAACUUGCUUAGGACUGAAUAUGAGCGGUUGCAAUUUGUAACAAUGAUGUAUAUAUACAUAUACAUUUUCAUGUAUUUGUAUGAACAUAAAAGUAUUGAAGGAUAUUCAUCAAACUGCUAAAAGGGUUGCUUCAGAGUAACGGACUCGGAGAAGGCAGAUUAAUUUUCUCUUAAUGGAACUCUGUAUUGUAUCACUUGUAAAAAUAAGCAUGUGUUAUCUUUAUGAUAAAAAAGUAAAAACCUAAAAAAG
rnacentral:lncRNA from 1 species